AGUGAACGCUGGCGGUAGGCCUAACACAUGCAAGUCGAACGGCAGCACAGUAAGAGCUUGCUCUUACGGGUGGCGAGUGGCGGACGGGUGAGGAAUACAUCGGAAUCUACUUUUUCGUGGGGGAUAACGUAGGGAAACUUACGCUAAUACCGCAUACGACCUACGGGUGAAAGAAGGGGAUCUUCGGACCUUGCGCGAUUGAAUGAGCCGAUGUCGGAUUAGCUAGUUGGCGGGGUAAAGGCCCACCAAGGCGACGAUCCGUAGCUGGUCUGAGAGGAUGAUCAGCCACACUGGAACUGAGACACGGUCCAGAAUCCUACAGGAGGCAGCAGAGGAGAAUAUUGAGCAAUAACCGCAAGCCUGAUCCAGCCAUACCGCGUAGGUGAAGAAGGCCUUCGGGUUGUAAAGCCCUUUUGUUGGGAAAGAAAAGCAGCAGGUUAAUACACCGAUGUUCUGACGGUACCAAAAGAAUAAGCACCUGCUAACUUCGUG
rnacentral:rRNA from 1 species